UAGUAACUGCGAGUGAAGCGGGAAAAGCUCAAAUUUAAAAUCUGGCGGUCUUUGGCCGUCCGAGUUGUAAUCUAGAGAAGUAAUGCCCGUGCUGGACCGUGUAUAAGUCUCCUGGGAUGGGGCGUCAUAGAGGGUGAGAAUCCCGUCUUUGACACGGACUACCAGUGCAUUGUGGUAUGCUCUCAAAGAGUCGAGUUGUUUGGGAAUGCAGCUCAAAAUGGGUGGUAAAUUCCAUCUAAAGCUAAAUAUUGGCGAGAGACCGAUAGCGAACAAGUACCGUGAGGGAAAGAUGAAAAGAACUUUGGAAAGAGAGUUAAACAGUACGUGAAAUUGCUGAAAGGGAAACGCUUGAAGUCAGUCGCGUUGGCCAGGGAUCAGCCUUGCUUUUGCAUGGUGUACUUUCUGGUUGACGGGUCAGCAUCAAUUUUGACCGCUGGAAAAGGGCCUGGGGAAUGUGGCAGCUUCGGCUGUGUUAUAGCCCCUGGUCACAUACGGCGGUUGGGAUUGAGGAACUCAGCACGCCGCAAGGCCGGGUUUCGACCACGUUCGUGCUUAGGAUGCUGGCAUAAUGGCUUUAAGCGACCCGUCUUGAAACACGGACCAAGGAGUCUAACAUGCCUGCGAGUAUUUGGGUGAAAAACCCGAGUGCGCAAUGAAAGUGAAAGUUGAGAUCCCUGUCGUGGGGAGCAUCGACGCCCGGACCAGAACUUUUGGGACGGAUCCGCGGUGGAGCAUGUAUGUUGGGACCCGAAAGAUGGUGAACUAUGCCUGAAUAGGGUGAAGCCAGAGGAAACUCUGGUGGAGGCUCGUAGCGAUUCUGACGUGCAAAUCGAUCGUCAAAUUUGGGUAUAGGGGCGAAAGACUAAUCGAACCAUCUAGUAGC
rnacentral:rRNA from 1 species